GACAAACAAAAUAGGAAUAGUGUUUUCACCAAAUUCAACCUUUUUUCACCAGCGGGCAGCGGCCAGCCUUUGCUGUUUUCAGUUUUCACACAAAUUUAUCGCCAUUGCCGCCUCCUAAUCCACGCCGGCACACCCUGAUGGCAAACCCAUUCAACCCCGACGGCUUUUCAUUUUCUUUUCCUCUUUCACUGUUACUCAACCAACUUUUUUCCCCUUUUUUUGUUCGCCUAGAUCUCUGCUACUGCUAAGUGCUACUGCUACCCAUUUCUCAUCUUCAGUUCCUAAUGGCAAAUCCUAAGUUUUUCUUUCGCUGAAACUUUUCUUUGUACUGCUUUUGCUGCUUGUUUUGUUGAGGUAUUCAGUAUUCACGAUCCAUGGGUAUGAGAAAUAGGAUUUUAUAUUUUCUAUUGCUGUUGAGUUUUGAAUCUUUGGACUUUGAUUCCUUCUUGCUGUUGUUUCAGUGUUUCUGUUGAUUUUUGUUAGAGGAGAUGAUUUUUUUUUAGUUUGCUGUUAACGGAAAAU
rnacentral:lncRNA from 1 species